AUGUUUUCAAAUAGAGUUAUUUAGGUGGUCCACUAUUAAUAAGGAGGUAUCCUGUGAUAAUUGAUAGAACCCACAAAAGUACAAAUCUGAAGGACCUGUGCUAGUUACUAACGCUGUUUUUCUGGAUGUUUUUCUGGAUCUGUACAUAGAAGGAGAACGUCGAAGCAAUGUUCUUCUGUCUUGUGAAACUAUGUUUAGGGAUCUCCGAACAUACUACUAAUUCCCCAUAACCUUUACUAUCCAGUAACACAUGGUGGCAAUCCAAAUUAUGCAAAAUAUGUUCACUUUUCUUUGUUGUUGAAGUACCACUAAACAUAUUAAACACCAUGACCAUGGACGAAGGUUAAUACUAAAGCAUUUAAUAAGUUGCGUCAACC